rnacentral:lncRNA from 1 species
GGAGUCUAAAGGGACUUGUAAAUUUCCGCAUCAAAAUUGAGCAAUUUCCCAAUAGGAUGGUGGAGGAAAACAUUAAUCAUUAAAUGGAAAAUACCUUUUAUCUUCAUAGAGAGAUUUUCUUAUCAAGUUCAAGUGACAAUUCCUUUGGAAGAAUCUCUGUCCUCAGUUGUGUGGCUGUGGUUGGACAAUAUGUAAGUCUAACUACAAGAAAAAAUAUCAGAUGAACUUCAGAGCUUCCUACCAAACACUGACCAGGACUUCUCAAAACAAGACUACUGAAAACCAGGAACCCCUGAGAAGCUGUAGCAGCCAAGAGGGACCUAAGGAAGCAUGAUGAUUAAAUCUGAUGUGGGAUCCCGGGUGGGACCUUGAGGCAAAAAAUAGUACAUUUUGGCAAAAGCUAAGAAAAUAGGAAUAAAGUACAGAUUUCAAUUAAUAAAAAUGCAUCAAUGCAGAUUGCUUUUUUCGACAAAUGUGCC